rnacentral:misc_RNA from 1 species
UUAGUUUAUUUGAUAUGGACUCGGACUUCACUGAUAGACGAGGUUGUAAGGGCCUCCGGCGGGCGCUCGCCGGCCCAGGCGAUCGAGAUCAAACCCGGAGCCGGCAUGGGCGAAGGGCUCCAAGGCCCGCCAAAGCAACAGAGGUACGGUAGGCACAGGGUGAAGAGGUGGGGGCCGGAGCCCCCGGGAGCGCGUGGCCCCUCUCUCAGUAAUGAUCCUUCCGCAGGUUCACCUACGGAAA